GACGAACGCUGGCGGCGUGCUUAACACAUGCAAGUCGAACGGAAAGGCCCUGCUUUUGUGGGGUGCUCGAGUGGCGAACGGGUGAGUAACACGUGAGUAACCUGCCCUUGACUUUGGGAUAACUUCAGGAAACUGGGGCUAAUACAGGAUAGGAGCUCCUGCUGCAUGGUGGGGGUUGGAAAGUUUCGGCGGUUGGGGAUGGACUCGCGGCUUAUCAGCUUGUUGGUGGGGUAGUGGCUUACCAAGGCUUUGACGGGUAGCCGGCCUGAGAGGGUGACCGGCCACAUUGGGACUGAGAUACGGCCCAGACUCCUACGGGAGGCAGCAGUGGCGAAUAUUGCACAAUGGGCGGAAGCCUGAUGCAGCAACGCCGCGUGCGGGAUGACGGCCUUCGGGUUGUAAACCGCUUUCGCCUGUGACGAAGCGUGAGUGACGGUAAUGAGUAAAGAAGCACCGGCUAACUACGUG
rnacentral:rRNA from 1 species